AUAAAUUGUGGCUGCUGCAGCUCUGCUCUUUGUCUUUAUUUUUAGGAAGUCAAGGCAGAGAGCAGCUGUCAAGGCUGAGUGGGCAAGAUGGACUGCUUGCCAUCUAUCCUAGCCCAGCAUGCCCAUGCCAGGUGCUGUCGCUGCCCUAGGCAUGCCGGGGAAGAGAGGAGGGC